GGAUUAUACGAUUUAAUCUGUUUUUAAUACAUUUUUACGGCAAUUGUGUAUGACAGUUUUAUGUGCACUAGUGCAUCCCAGCCGAAAUCGCUAUUCAUGUACAACGGUCUUUAUAUGCACCAGUGCACACUAGUACAUCGUAAUUAGGUUUGUUUUUUAUUGCAGCACUAGAACUGCACUAGAACUGAACUGAACUGAACUAGAACUGAGUUAGGACACAGUACAAAUAGGCAAUAAAGAACAUUAUAGUGCAAAGUAACGAACAUGGCAGAUCAUGUUCUAUUGGAAUUAUUAGAUUCAUCUGACGAAGAUGAAGUAGUAAUUCCACUAUUAGAAGCAAUUUUAAUCGAAGAUAAUGAUGUUAAUCAGAAGAAUUCAGCACAAAAAGUACAAAAUUAUAUCGAAAAUAUCGUUACUAAUUAUGAUAACAGAGAUUUUAUAAUGCAUUUUCGAUUAUCCAGAGCAAUAACAAACGAUUUAAUAAAUCGAUUCAGAGUAUCCAAUAUAUUUACUUCUAUACAAAAUCGUGUACGAUAUACAAAAGUAACAGCUAAAAAACAUAUUUUGUGUUAUCUGUGGUUUUAUAUAUAUAUAUAAGCACUUUAAACCAUAAUCACAACAGUGACUGAAUUUAUUAUGUCUUUAGCACAUAAUGUUAUAAGAUACCCAACAAUAGCAGAAAAAGAAGAAACAUCAACUUACUUUUUUCAAGAAAAAGGAUUUCCUGCUAUAAUUAGUAAUGCAUUCACACUUAUAUUCAUUACUAAUAUAUUGCAAGUGUUAUAGAUGGUUCCCAUAUAAGGAUUGACAAACCAAUAGAAGAUGCCG